rnacentral:tRNA from 1 species
GAAUUUUUCAAGCUUGCUUCUAUCGACCGUUUUAGAAACAUCAGUGGCCAACGAUCGUCAGGAUCGUUGAGCUGCAUUGGCGGGAUUUCGCCGUCUUCGUUUCUCUUUCUUCGCGGACGAACACGCGCUGGGCCUGCGAGAGCAGGGUCCCUGGUCCUUGACGGGAUAUGCGUUAGGGGCUUGUAGCUCAGUUGGUUAGAGCGCGCGCUUGAUAAGCGUGAGGUCGGAAGUUCAAGUCUUCCCAGGCCCACCACACUCAUCGGGUAAGCAUUCGUCUUCUGGUUACGGGGCCAUAGCUCAGCUGGGAGAGCGCGUGCUUUGCAAGCAUGAGGUCGUCGGUUCGAUCCCGUCUGGCUCCACCAGAUGGUUUGAUCACCGACGCUGUGUUUGCAGCUAUUCAACCGUCGUCCGCGAAACAUCACUUCGCACCUACUAGUCUGGAUAGACAGUAGGUUGCGUGAUUUCUGACAUCGUAAAGAGGAGAUCGAUCCGAGUUGGAUCGGGCAGCAAGCAAUUGCUGCGCGAACCUUCAUUAUCUCCGGAUCAUUUCGGCGCUCGCGCGCCUUUCAAUGCGGCUCACAAGGCUGCG